AGACAGAGAGUUGUUAGGUUGGUCAUGGGAGAAAUAGUAAUAUGAUAAUACCCGAUAACGAAAUUUUUAUAUUAAAAUAUUUUAAUUAUUCUUGUUAGUAAUUAAAAUAUUGAAUUUCGUUUAAUUUCUUAUAAUGGUUUUUCAAUGUGUCAUUCGUUCGUGCAAAACAAAAUCAAAUAAAGAUUGCAUCAUGCAUCGCUAGCCUAGAAAUCAUGAAAUGCUUUUAAAAUGGGCAAAUGCGAUACGUAUGUUUCAACCAGAUUUUACUCCGGCGACGCAUACAAAAAUAUGCAGUAGUCAUUUUAUAGAAUCUGACUAUAACUUGAGCUUUACUGGUAAAAAAAGAAGCUGUGCCAAGUGAAUUUAAACUGGAAGCAUGUAAGAAAUUAUUCAAUGUUGAAAUGGUCGAAGUCUUUGAUGAUGAAGAAGGAAGAAAUUUACUAUAAAUGCCAAUGAAUGAAGAAGAUAUUAAAAAAUCUGACAUUUGAUCAUCUGAAAGAUGAAAAGAAAGUUAAUGAAAAUUGUUUUUCAUUACUCAAGUUAUUGCUGUAUGUGUUAAAUGGCUUGGUUGAUAAGGUUACGUUCAGUGUUCAAUGUUCUAUGGAUUUGUUACCAAAGACAGGGCUUGGAUUUUAUGCAAUCCUGACAUCCAAUCAUGAAUUUAAGUAUCGUUGAUCCGUAUCCUUUUACUGUAAUAUUAAUGGCUCAUCACAAAAAAUAUUCUCCUCCUUUAUCUUUUUACACUACAUGGUUAACUACUAUAUAUUUUAUAUGUUCUUCACAAAAUAAUUUUUAAAAAUUUCAUAGUACGUCUUAAUUGUCAAUUUUUAUCCACCUAAAAUAUUUCUAAUAAGAACCAUUGAUAUUAAAACUGAUUCUAUCUCAAACAUUUUUAUCAUUAUUGCAAUGACUGUGUGUAUUAAUUUGUUA